rnacentral:tRNA from 1 species
GGGGGUUUAGCUCAGUGGUAGAGCGCUUGCCUAGCAAGUACAAGGCCCUGGGUUCGGUCCCCAGCCCUG